AGAGUUUGAUCAUGGCUCAGAGCGAACGCUGGCGGCAGGCUUAACACAUGCAAGUCGAGCGGGCGUAGCAAUACGUCAGCGGCAGACGGGUGAGUAACGCGUGGGAACAUACCUUUUGGUUCGGAACAACACAGGGAAACUUGUGCUAAUACCGGAUAAGCCCUUACGGGGAAAGAUUUAUCGCCGAAAGAUUGGCCCGCGUCUGAUUAGCUAGUUGGUGAGGUAAUGGCUCACCAAGGCGACGAUCAGUAGCUGGUCUGAGAGGAUGAUCAGCCACAUUGGGACUGAGACGCGGCCCAAACUCCUACGGGAGGCAGCAGUGGGGAAUAUUGGACAAUGGGCGCAAGCCUGAUCCAGCCAUGCCGCGUGAGUGAUGAAGGCCCUAGGGUUGUAAAGCUCUUUUGUGCGGGAAGAUAAUGACGGUACCGCAAGAAUAAGCCCCGGCUAACUUCGUGCCAGCAGCCGCGGUAAUACGAAGGGGGCUAGCGUUGCUCGGAAUCACUGGGCGUAAAGGGUGCGUAGGCGGGUCUUUAAGUCAGGGGUGAAAUCCUGGAGCUCAACUCCAGAACUGCCUUUGAUACUGAGGAUCUUGAGUACGGGAGAGGUGAGUGGAACUGCGAGUGUAGAGGUGAAAUUCGUAGAUAUUCGCAAGAACACCAGUGGCGAAGGCGGCUCACUGGCCCGUUACUGACGCUGAGGCACGAAAGCGUGGGGAGCAAACAGGAUUAGAUACCCCCGUAGUCC
rnacentral:rRNA from 1 species